rnacentral:rRNA from 1 species
AUGCCGUUGUUCGGAGUGUUUAGAGAGAUGGCCAGGCUGGCGACGCCGGCCGCGGGUGGGCGGAAACGGGGGUUGGGCCAGUGCCAGCGCGCACGCCUGGUGGUGGUGGAGGCGGGCGGGGAUGGACGGCAGUGGGUGGGGUCGGGUGGGUUCGAGCGCGACAGCGGCUCCACUUCGCAUCUCAUUCAGAUGUUUGCAGAGCUUAAGUUUCAAGCCACCAAGGCCAAAAUGGAUGCAGCUGAGGUUCAGUUCACCCCACUGUCUAUCUCAGUUAACAGCUUCAAAGCAGAGGUACAGAGUCCGGGUCCGGGUGCGCAUCCCGCUGAUGUGGGAGCCCUUCAAUCCAAAUCACGACGAAGUGGUGGUCAGCCUCGAAAUUUUUUGAUCGACGACAAGAUAGGGACAAACCAUGCAAGCCAAUAUACAUCACACAGACAGAUAAAAAUGUGUUUCAAAGAGCGGCUAGUUGAAGGGCAAGUUUAUGCAUUGCCAGAUUCUGAAGUUUCUGAAGUAAAGCACUGA